rnacentral:rRNA from 1 species
UACAGAGGGCGCGAGCGUUGUCCGGAAUCACUGGGCGUAAAGGGCGCGUAGGUGGCCACUAUAAGGCCGCGGUGAAAGUUCGGGGCUCAACCCUGAAUCUGCCGCGGCGACUGUAGGGCUAGGGCACCGUAGAGGCAGAUGGAAUUCCGGGUGUAGCGGUGGAAUGCGUAGAGAUCCGGAAGAACACCGGUGGCGAAAGCGCUCUGCUGGACCUUAACUGACACUGAGGGACGAAAGCUAGGGGAGCGAAUGGG